rnacentral:rRNA from 1 species
GUAGGGUGCGAGCGUUAUCCGGAAUCAUUGGGCGUAAAGAGCUCGUAGGCGGUUCAGCAAGUCGGCUGUGAAAUUCCGAGGCUCAACCUCGGAACUGCAGUCGAUACUGCUGUGACUCGAGUCCGGUAGAGGAGAAUGGAAUUCCCGGUGUAGCGGUGAAAUGCGCAGAUAUCGGGAGGAACACCAGUAGCGAAGGCGGUUCUCUGGGCCGGCACUGACGCUGAGGAGCGAAAGCGUGGGGGUAGCAAACAGGAUUAGAUACCCUGGUAGUCCACGCCCGUAAACGUUGGAUACUAGGUGUGGGGUUCCGACCAACGGUCCCCGUGCCGAAGCUAACGCGUUAAGUAUCCCGCCUGGGGAGUACGGCCGCAAGGCUA